CUUAUCUCUACACGGAAUGGGACUAAUUCUUUAUUCUUAGUAGUUACUCAGCGUUGCAGAGUUAAUUUUUAAAAGUUUAACAAACAUUUUAGCGCCCACAUAUAAAACAUUUUAAAGCAAAAUUAUUGGCUAACAGAACUGAAGAGAGAUCUUCUACCUAUAUACUGAGCUACUCUAAAGCCAAAAUCCAAUAAAAGCUACAUUAGAAUCUAGUUAGAACUUACAUGCUGCACAAACCUAGCUUAUACUUGCCUUUCUUGGAUAUUUGUAAGGUGCAGUCGAUUUUUUCACAUGAUCCUGAAGCUCAAGAGUUAAUUUCUCAGGGUCCGAUGAUUUGUAGGGUGCAGAUAAGACAACAAACGCUUUUACCACCUGCAGUAAAAGAGUCCAUUUGUAUUGCUAUGUUUGUUCUGCAGACACGCGAAGAGCUUGGAACCAUUGCUGAGCAGAGGCGCUAUGUUAACAGCAGCUUGAGUGAUGACUACAAAUGCCAGGAUCCCCCCCGAACACGGUUCAAAUACUACAGUGACAAAGUGAGAUUUGGGGGCUCUUUUUCCAGGCGGUCUGAUUGA
rnacentral:lncRNA from 1 species